GCACUGUUUGCGUGUAGAGAUUAUGAAUUGAUUAUGCAAUCGUAGCCGGUUUAAUGUUUUGACGAAGACCCAAACCCAAUUUCUCUAUUCCUUGGGCCACACUUCGUCUCGAUUUUCUUCAAUAAUUUAUAGAUUUUGAAACUUACCCAAGUGAUUAAACCUCCUAGAUUCAUGGUCAAUCUCUUGUGAUUAUCGGAUAGGAGACUACAGGAAACUUCUGUACUGUAGAGGUCCCUUCUAGCGUUGGAUUUUCGACGGCAGGGUUUAUUGAACUGGUCGUAGCUACUAUUACCUUUCUUGGUCUUUUUUUAUUCAUUUUUCUGCUUGAUCUUUGCUGCGAUUUCAGAAACAGAUAUAAAUACACAGAUAUUAGUAUUGGAUUUUAUCAUUGGUUCAUAUGUUCUUUGUUCUUUUGCAGGUGAUUAGUUGACUUUUUGUGUGCUGAGGAAUUUGCAGAUUUUUGAGCUAUGGGAAGUAAGAAUUCGAAGGAAACGGAUCAAAGAGAGUUUGAUUCAGAUGGGUUUGGGAAUUCUUCAACGUGGGGUUAUGACAAUUAUCCUCCACCUUCGCCGUAUGUUCAGGAAUAUUCAUAUCCACAACGCUUUGAUUAUGGGUCACAAACACCACUACCACAGAGGAGGUUGGAUAGGAAAUAUUCAAGAAUUGCUGACCAUUACCAAUCCUUGGAUGAGGUGACAGCAGCUCUUGCUCAAGCUGGACUAGAGUCCUCUAAUCUCAUUGUGGGAAUCGAUUUCACGAAGAGCAACGAGUGGACAGGUUCAAGGUCGUUUAAUCGACGUAGUUUACACCACAUCGGGAACACACAGAAUCCAUAUGAACAAGCCAUAUCUAUUAUUGGACAGACCUUAUCAGCUUUUGAUGAGGACAACAUGAUUCCAUGUUAUGGAUUUGGAGAUGCAUCUACACAUGAUCAAAAUGUCUUUAGCUUUUACGACGAUGACAGGAUCUGUAAUGGAUUUGAGGAAGUUUUGCAUCGUUACAAAGAAAUCGUCCCCAACUUACGACUUGCAGGACCUACAUCUUUUGCACCAAUCAUUGAGAUGGCCAUGACAAUAGUUGAGCAAACUGGUGGUCAGUACCAUGUUUUGCUGAUAAUUGCAGAUGGCCAAGUCACAAGAAGUGUCGACACAAAUAACGGUCAACUAAGUUCACAAGAACGAAACACCGUCGAUGCGAUUGUUAGAGCAAGUGAGUACCCGUUGUCAAUUAUCUUGGUCGGAGUCGGAGACGGGCCAUGGGACAUGAUGAAGAAUUUUGACGACAACAUCCCAGCUCGAGCUUUCGAUAACUUUCAGUUUGUUAAUUUCACUGAGAUUAUGUCAAAAAAUGUAAACUCUACCAGAAGGCAGACUGAGUUUGCUCUAGCUGCCUUAAUGGAAAUACCUUCUCAAUAUCAGGCUACUCUAGAGCUUGGCCUAUUGGGUCGACGACGAGGGAGUUCGCCAGAGAGAGUUCCUCUUCCACCUCCUUUGUACAGCACGACGCCGUUCAACAGCUACCCGAGGACCCCACGAGCCAACAGUUUUCAGACUCGAACACCUUCACAUGGUAGAUAUAACCAAGGAGUUGGCACAACUUCAUCCACCAGUUCUCAUUAUGAUAACCAGAUUUGCCCCAUUUGUCUCACUAAUCCGAAGGACAUGGCUUUUGGUUGCGGGCAUCAGACAUGCUGCGACUGCGGAGAAACACUCGAGUCGUGCCCCAUCUGCCGAAGCUCUAUUCAGACUAGAAUAAGGCUUUAUUAAGUCCUGCCAUGUGAUACCUAUGGCUCAUUUAUUUCAUUUUUUGGAUCCUCAACUCCUGCAAUGGGCCAGGUCUCUCGAAGCGAGGUACAACGGGAAGGGUGUGUUUGUACAUAUGGUGGAUGUUUUUGUUAGCCUGCCUCAUCACUGACUAUACACAACUAUACCUGUUUGUAGAAGCUUCAAAGGGAGUUCGUUUUAAUCUUGUUUCGUUCUUAGAAAUCAUUUUUACGUGCGUACGUCGUUGUAUAUAUCGGUUUCUGGGUUGUAAUAAAUCUUCCUGCUUGUUUAUCAUCAACUAAGCAGAUGUUUUUUUUCCGAAAUAAGAUUCAUCAUUGUCAUUGA